CUAGAUUAUCCUUUAAAUCUUACUAAAAUGAAUCCUAGAUUAUCCUUUAAAUCUUACUAAAAUGAAUCCUAGAUUAUCCUUUAAAUCUUACUAAAUUAAUCCUAGGUUACCCUUUAAAUUUUCCUAAAUGAAUCCUAGAUUAUCAUUUAAAUCUUAUUAAAUGAUUCCUAGAUCACCCUUUAAAUCUUACAAAAUGAUUCCUAGAUUAUCCUUUAAAUCUUACUAAAUUAAUCCUAGAUUACCCUUUAAAUCUUACUAAAUGAUUCCUAGAUCACCCUUUAAAUCUUACAAAAUGAUUCCUAGAUUAUCCUNNNNNNNNNNCAGGGUAAUACACAUGUACAGCAUACAAUAAAAUAUAGAGCCAUGGUCUGCCUGUCUGUCGUUCAGAAGAGAGAAGACUAUGUCGACAGGACUUCAUAGCUCAUUUGUUACCGUGCACUAAGGGCGAGGCAAAGAGAGAGAAAAAAAAAAUCACGUUUCAUAUUUUCAUACAGAUCUCCAUACAAAUAAAGUGACCAACGAAGAGAAAAACUAAGAACUGAAAAGCAAACGUAUAGGCACAUAGAACAUCUCCAUUUUUCUCAACAAAUUAAAAAUACAUUUGAAAAAAAAAAAAAAGUAUUUAAAAGACAAUACCACUCAAAAAAACAAAAAACAAUGUUGUGUUUUGCAGGUCAGCAAUCAAGUUUCCAAGAUGUACAACGUUAAAAUUCUAGAACGUGUCCUAAACGCAUCAUACUGUGUGACAUGUUCUGGACUUUUCAAUAUUCUAGAUCUUGAAAACUAGAUUUUGUUUUGUGGAAUUUUCCUUUAAGGGCAAACAGAUAAAAAAGAAAACCCCAAAUGGUACAACGUAGAAUGAGAGCACACUCGACAGUUUGUUGUGAGGAAAUAAAGACAUUGUUCUGUGAUGAGUCGUCUGAUCUGUGACUUUUCUUUCCCUCUAUUCUAAACCAUUUGAAUGUCUCACUGGCACAGACAUCAAUACCAUAUUCAGCAUUGUUCCUAUUUCCAGUCGGUGUCCUAAUAUGAAUCCUAACAUUUGAUACAGUAUAAUGAAUUCAACCCUUUAUCUCCUGCGUUCUAAUCUAAACAUGUUCUGAAUGACAAUGUAGCUAACGCUUUAUCUCCUGUGUUCUAAUCUAAACAUGUUCUGAAUGACAAUGUAGCUAACCCUUUAUCUCCUACGUUCUAAUCUAAACAUGUUCUGAAUGACAAUGUAGCUAACGCUUUAUCUCCUGUGUUCUAAUCUAAACAUGUUCUGAAUGACAAUGUAGCUAACGCUUCAUCUUCUGUGUGCUAAUCUAAACAUGUUCUGAAUGACAAUGUAGCUAACCCUUUAUCUCCUACGUUCUAAUCUAAACAUGUUCUGAAUGACAAUGUAGCUAACCCUUUAUCUCUCUGGGACAAUCCAUCUUCAGAGGGGGGAAAAAAAA
rnacentral:lncRNA from 13 species